rnacentral:rRNA from 1 species
GUGCUGGGAAUCGCCCUUAGAGUUUGAUCCUGGCUCAUUUUGAACGCUGGCGGCAGGCCUAACACAUGCCAGUCGAACGGUAACAGAACUAGCUUGCUAGUUGCUGACGAGUGGCGGACGGGUGAGUAACGCGUAGGAAUCUACCAGGUAGUGGGGGACAACAGUUGGAAACGACUGCUAAUACCGCAUACGCCCUAUGGGGGAAAGGAGGGGAUCUUCGGACCUUUCGCUAUCUGAUGAGCCUGCGUGAGAUUAGCUUGUUGGUGAGGUAAUGGCUCACCAAGGCGACGAUCUCUAGCUGGUCUGAGAGGAUGAUCAGCCACACUGGGACUGACACACGGCCCAGACUCCUACGGGAGGCAGCGGUGGGGAAUAUUGCCCAAUGGGGGAAACCCUGAUGCAGCCAUGCCGCGUGUGUGAUGAAGGCCUUCGGGUUGUAACGCACUUUCAGUUGUGAGGAAAGGUGUGUGGUUAAUACCCG